rnacentral:rRNA from 1 species
UAGGGAAUCUUCCGCAAUGGACGCAAGUCUGACGGAGCAACGCCGCGUGAGUGAAGAAGGAUUUCGGUUCGUAAAACUCUGUUGUUAGAGAAGAACAGCGCAUAGAGUAACUGUUAUGCGUGUGACGGUAUCUAACCAGAAAGCCACGGCUAACUACGUGCCAGCAGCCGCGGUAAUACGUAGGUGGCAAGCGUUGUCCGGAUUUAUUGGGCGUAAAGCGAGCGCAGGCGGUCAAUUAAGUCUGAUGUGAAAGCCCCCGGCUCAACCGGGGAGGGUCAGUGGAAACUGGUUGACUGGAGUGCAGAAGAGGAGAGUGGAAUUCCAUGUGUAGCGGUGAAAUGCGUAGAUAUAUGGAGGAACACCAGUGGCGAAGGCGACUCUCUGGUCUGUAACUGACGCUGAGGCUCGAAAGCGUGGGUAGCAAACAGG